CCUACGGGGGGCAGCAGUGGGGGAUAUUGCACAAUGGGGGAAACCCUGAUGCAGCGACGCCGCGUGGGCGAAGAAGUAUUUCGGUAUGUAAAGCCCUAUCAGCAGGGAAGAAGAAAUGACGGUACCUGAGUAAGUAGCACCGGCUAAAUACGUGCCAGCAGCCGCGGUAAUACGUAUGGUGCAAGCGUUAUCCGGAUUUACUGGGGGUAAAGGGAGCGCAGGCGGCACGGCAAGCCUGAUGUGAAAGCCCGCGGCCCAACCGCGGGACUGCAUUGGGAACUGUUGAACUAGAUUGCAGGAGAGGUAAGUGGAAUUCCUAGUGUAGCGGUGAAAUGCGUAGAUAUUAGGAGGAACACCAGUGGCGAAGGCGGCUUACUGGACUGUAAAUGACGCUGAGGCUCGAAAGCGUGGGGAGCAAACAGGAUUAGAUACCCCAGUAGUC
rnacentral:rRNA from 1 species